AUAUGUUGGAUCAAAU
rnacentral:sRNA from 1 species